CUAAGCCAAAAAGUUGGGCCGAAAAAGGCAGACGUCCUGAGAGGAGUCUGCAAGCCAUAUCCACACGGCAGUAGGAGCCACAACUAAGCGGGAGCCAUGGAGGAGAGAAAAGGAAUGCAGAGAGGAUUUAGCAGCACGAGCAGAGAAAGCAGGGCAGAGCGUGGCUGAGUCAUCACACUGGCAGAGCACUAGAGAAGGAGCAACAGAUGCUUGCCGUUGAAGCAAUGUCAAGAGGAACAGGUGGCUGGAGCAGCUCGAUUUUCCUUCGAGACCUGGAUGUAUGCAGGACCCACCAUGCUCAUUUGGGAUACACCAUUGUGUUGGCCACAGGUUCAGGGAUGGACAUGUGAGGCGGGCCAGGUCGCUGAGGCUUAGUUCUGGGACUGUGGUGGGCUUUGGUAGGAAAGAGAAGAUUGCCGCUUGUAAAGGUGAUUCUAAGCCCAGCGUUCCUGGGGACUACCAAGGAUGCUCAUGUUGAGAAUGAAGCAGCUACUAUAGAGGGGACAUGGAGCUGAGAAACGAGCUGAAGCUUUGAUAAUAUUCUUUCAGCCCC
rnacentral:lncRNA from 1 species